AACGGCCGUACCAUGCUGAAUAUACCGGUUCUCUUUAGAUCACCGAAGUCAAGCAUCAUUGGGCGCGGUCAGUACUUGGAUUGGUGACCCCCUGGGAACACCGCGUUG
rnacentral:rRNA from 1 species